rnacentral:misc_RNA from 1 species
UCGUAUAACAGAGGUGUUCUGAGCUGUCGCUGACCUUACUGGGUCGUGCACGCUCAGAGCAUUCUCAUUUACAACAAUCUACCUCACCCUUUGUGCAUCGCCGCGUGGGCUUCACCUUUGAUUCAAAGGAAGUCUACGUUUUUACCACAAACAUAAUGAUAGUGAAUGUCUUAUAUUUGCGGUUACACGCAAUCAAUA